CUUCAAAUCUUUAUUUUCAAGGUUGAAAGAUUAGGUUUUUGGUUGAUCUUCAUGCCUCCAAGAUCAUCCAGAUUUGGAGGCAAUUGGAACCUAGUUUGAGUCGCACACAUAUGCUCGUCUUCUUGGUAGGUUUUAUGGCAUCUCAAUAGCUGCACCUUCACUAUGGUCACUCCACUGGAAGUCUAGAGUCCUUUUCGUUGAACAUAUGUAUCUUGAUGUAAAUUGUUAAGAUAUACAUAUCUUAAGCAAUAGACGUUUAUGUUGAUUAAUGUUGCCACUAUGAGAUGGCACGAAUGACAUUAUUUUGAAUCAUAAAUGUGAACAUAUGGUUUCGAUGGAAAAGUAUUGAAAUACUUGUUGAUAAGAAUUAUGAAAUACGAUUGUAAGAACGAGUGAUGAAAUCGAUGAAUGGAGUCACAUAAAUAGGCUUACUUGGGCUUAGUGGGCUAUGCCCAUUGGGCCCAUGCAUCGGUCAU